CACGUAGGCGGACUUUUAAGUCAGGGGUGAAAUCCCGGGGCUCAACCCCGGAACUGCCUUUGAUACUGGAAGUCUUGAGUAUGGUAGAGGUGAGUGGAAUUCCGAGUGUAGAGGUGAAAUUCGUAGAUAUUCGGAGGAACACCAGUGGCGAAGGCGACCACCUGGACUGAUACUGACACUGAGGUGCGAAAGCGUGGGGAGCAAACAGGAUUAGAUACCCCUGUA
rnacentral:rRNA from 1 species